UUUGUUGACAAACAGCACAUAAAUUAAAACUGGCCAGGAUCGAUACAGAGAAGAUUAGAAUAGUUCCUGUGAAAGGAUAACAUGCAAGUCCAUGAAACGUUUCUCACUUUA